rnacentral:lncRNA from 1 species
CAGCCCCAAUGACUUGAGAAAUUUAAAAAAAUCCCAGGGACCAAAUCCUAGGAGUAAAUGAGUUGGUAUCGUGAGAUAGAAAAUAAAAAUAAAAAAUCAGAUAAACUACAAGUCAUGCCUGGCAGGGUCCAGACACAGCCUGACUGCAAGUCAAGCAACCAUCAACCAUUUCUAAAGUAUUAGCUAGGUUUGGGUCCGACACCAAGAUAACUCGACUCAACCCAAACCCACAGACAAUUUUAACUUGCUUUAGACAAUUGUAACUUGCUUUCCAAGGGAUCUAUGAGCCCGAAUCAAUUUUGCAUGCCCCACUC